UACGGGGGGGGCAAGCGUUGUCCGGAUUUACUGGGCGUAAAGAGCGCGCAGGCGGCUGAUUAAGUCGAAUGUGAAAGCCCCCGGCUCAACUGGGGAGGGUCAUUCGAUACUGAUCAACUUGAAGGCAGGAGAGAGAAGUGGAAUUCCUGGUGUAGCGGUGAAAUGCGCAGAUAUCAGGAGGAACACCGGUGGCGAAGGCGGGUCUCUGGGCAACAACUGACGCUGAGGAGCGAAAGCGUGGGGAGCGAACAGG
rnacentral:rRNA from 1 species